UACGUAGGGGGCUAGCGUUGUCCGGAAUCAUUGGGCGUAAAGCGCGUGUAGGCGGCCCGGUAAGUCCGCUGUGAAAGUCGGGGGGCUCAACCCUCGGAUGCCGGUGGAUACUGUCGGGCUAGAGUGCAGAAGAGGCGAGUGGAAUUCCUGGUGUAGCGGUGAAAUGCGCAGAUAUCAGGAGGAACACCAAUUGCGAAGGCAGCUCGCUGGGACGUGACUGACGCUGAGACGCGAAAGCGUGGGGAGCAAACAGG
rnacentral:rRNA from 1 species